rnacentral:lncRNA from 1 species
CUUAGUAAUGCUCACCCAAUUACCUUUCCUAGUAUAUCUUCAUCUUGUUAAAGUGUAUGAGAACUGCUUUGGAGAGUCUAAUAAGUCCAAAUGAGCAUUAAAAAGGAGAGAGAGUAGGAGAAGUAUCUCUUGAGAAAGAUUAAAAAGCGAGCACAGGCUGAGUGCAGUGGGUCACGCCUGUAGUCUCAGCACUUUGGGAGGUCGAGGUAGGCAGAUUGCUGGAACUCAGGAGUUCGAGACCAGCCUGGACAACAUGGCAAAAUCCUGUUUCUACAAAAGGACUGUUUUCUAUUUGAUUGGGAAGUGUUAGAAUGGCAACAGUGACAAAUCCUGUGGCAAAUCUUCAUGCAAAGGUGCUAAGAAUUCAGUGAUGAAAACAUGAUGUAUCCUAGGCAUGGAAAUAAUAUUCUAGUGAUUUCUUCUUGACAAUUAGAUUAUGUUGAAUUUAGCAGCGAUUUUUUUUUAACUUUUACUCUAGUAGUUUGUUGGACUCUUUUUCCCCAUUUCCAAUUUUUUGAAUUAUGAGUUAAUUUUCUUCCUUCUAAUUCUCCUCAGUUUUAUUCUCCAUAUAAUUUGCAUUGUAUUUCCAUUUUAAAAUCCAAUAAAAUAAAAAUCAUAUAAAUGCUGAAGCAUCAAAAU